rnacentral:rRNA from 1 species
AAUCAACGCUGGCGGCGUGCCUCAGACAUGCAAGUCGAACGAUUAAAGCUCUCUUCGGAGAGUGUAUAGAGUGGCGCACGGGUGAGUAACACGUAAGUAAUCUACCCUCGAGUGGGGAAUAACAACCGGAACGGUUGCUAAUACCGCAUAAUGCAGCGGCACCGCAAGGUGACAGUUGUUAAAGAUUUAUCGCUUGAGGAGGAGCUUGCGGCAGAUUAGCUAGUUGGUAGGGUAACGGCUUACCAAGGCUACGAUCUGUAACCGGUCUAAGAGGACGGUCGGUCACACUGACACUGAAUAACGGGUCAGACUCCUACGGGAGGCAGCAGUCGGGAAUUUUGGGCAAUGGGCGGAAAGCCUGACCCAGCAACGCCGCGUGAAGGAUGAAGUAUUUCGGUAUGUAAACUUACGAAAGAAUAGGAAGAAUUAAUGAC